rnacentral:lncRNA from 1 species
AACCAUGCUUGAGUGUGGCAUGUCUGUGAACAUCAUCCAUCGUGUAUGCAUCAUAGGAAGAUAAAAGUCAGCCGCUCUUGACAUCACCAGACCAUACUGGAUGAUAGGUGUGGGGGUCACCACCCACCACUUUCCAUGCAGGCGAUCAGUUCUACAUAAAGAUCCAGGAGGCUGGCUGGAGAGGGCUGGAGGGGCCUCAGGAGUCAGACCAUGUGGGUUUCUAUCAUGAUCCUCCAUACCCUACAGCCUCUGUUUUCCCAUCUUUCAAGCAGGGAUAACAACAGCACCUACUUUGGAGGGGUUUUGUGGGGAUUCAAUAGUAUGGCUCCGCCCAGGAAAGCCCUGAUGAAGGUAGAACCUGUUAUUUGUGUUUACCAUUGUUAUUAUCAUCCAUAUCAUUAUUCUGCCCACCUGGACUUAUUCUUUGUAAGGCUUGCCUCUCCCUCUGAACAGCCUGUAUAUAAUCUAAGUCUAUCUUUUCUGCACCAAAAUUGGCCAAUUUAUGUGGCACCCCUCACCACCAUCACUGGAUGUGCCUCUAAUCUAAUUAGACUAAUUUCAAUUUCCUGGAUUUAAUUACUUUUAAUUUAAUUAAUUUAGAAUGCAGUAUACUAGGUGAUUAAUUAGGAGACGUUACUGAGGGAUUCGGAAGGGGAAUUGCAGUAUGUAAGUGUUUAAAUAUUAUUGUGGCCAUAGCCACCAGUUGUCACUUUACACAGGAGGCCGCUGAGGCCCUGGGAGGGGCAGAGCUUGGAGAACUGGGAUGGGACAGGGACUCAAACAGAAGUCUCCUGGCAGCAAGCACAGAGCUCUUUCCUUUCACUGCUUUUGGCAACUCCCAGGGGAGGCAAAGAAGAGGCAGCUGAUUCCAGUGACCAGCAAGUUGGAACUAAGUCAUGAAUUGUGGGAGAGUUGACUGUUUCUGUAAUAGCAUACCUUGAGAUCUACUCAGAAAUGGCAGACUGGGAGAGAUGGCACUCCCACUUAUUCCACGUGCUCUCCUACACUUCCCAGCCUCCUAGGUGAGGGCUGUGUGGCUUGUUCUGACCAACGCAGGCACACCUUGGGGAUAUGCAGGUUCCAUUCCAGACCACCCC